rnacentral:rRNA from 1 species
GCACGCCCAUGGGGGCCGCGGGAAAUUUGUUUAAACGGGAAGAACCCUAACCGGUUCUUUGACUUAUUAUGCAAAUCUAAGAGAUUAGACGUUCCCUUUGGGGACAUGGAUACAGGUGGUGCAUGGUUGUCGUCAGCUCGGGUCGUGAGAUGUUGGGUUAAGUCCCGCAACGAGCGCAACCCUUAUUGUCAGUUGCCAGCAUUAAGUUGGGCACUCUGGCAAGACUGCCGGUGACAAACCGGAGGAAGGUGGGGAUGACGUCAAAUCAUCAUGCCCCUUAUGACCUGGGCUACACACGUGCUACAAUGGACGAUACAACGAGUCGCUAGACCGCGAGGUUAAGCUAAUCUCUGAAAGUCGUUCUCAGUUCGGAUUGCAGGCUGCAACUCGCCUGCAUGAAGUCGGAAUCGCUAGUAAUCGCGGAUCAGC